rnacentral:rRNA from 1 species
AACGAACGCUGGCGGCAUGCCUAACACAUGCAAGUCGAACGAGACCUUCGGGUCUAGUGGCGCACGGGUGCGUAACGCGUGGGAACCUGCCCUUAGGUUCGGAAUAACUCCCCGAAAGGGGUGCUAAUACCGGUUAAUGUCUUCGGACCAAAGAUUUAUCGCCUUUGGAUGGGCCCGCGUUGGAUUAGCUAGUUGGUAGGGUAAAAGCCUACCAAGGCGACGAUCCAUAGCUGGUCUGAGAGGAUGAUCAGCCACACUGGGACUGAGACACGGCCCAGACUCCUACGGGAGGCAGAAGUGGGGAAUAUUGGACAAUGGGCGAAAGCCUGAUCCAGCAAUGCCGCGUGAGUGAUGAAGGCCUUAGGGUUGUAAAGCUCUUUUACCCGGGAUGAUAAUGACAGUACCGGGAGAAUAAGCUCCGGCUAACUCCGUG